rnacentral:misc_RNA from 1 species
GAUGAAGAACGUAGCGAAAUGCGAUAAGUAAUGUGAAUUGCAGAAUUCAGUGAAUCAUCGAAUCUUUGAACGCACAUUGCGUCCAUUAGCAUUCUAGUGGGCAUGCCUGUUCGAGCGUCAUUUCAACCCUUAAGCCCUGUUGCUUAGCGUUGGGAGCCUACAGUACUGUAGCUCCCCAAAGUUAGUGGCGGAGUCGGUUUCACACUCUAGACGUAGUAAUUUUUUCUCGUCUGUAGUUGAGCCGGUCCCCUGCCGUAAAACACCCAAUUUAUCAAGGUUGACCUCGGAUCAGGUAGGAAUACCCGCUGAACUUAAGCAUAUCAAUAAGCGGAGGA